rnacentral:tRNA from 1 species
GCUGAUAUAGCUCAGUCGGUAGAACGCACCCUUGGUAAGGGUGGGGUCGGCAGUUCAAAUCUGCCUAUCAGCACCA